rnacentral:misc_RNA from 1 species
GCUAACCCUAUUUUUUUUGUAUGUUAUAUAUUGGCCUGGAUUUCUUUAUGAUUAUGGAAAGAAAUCCUGUUAUAAUUUGCAUUGGAUCAAAACAAGUCAAGAGAUCUCCAUCAGUUUUUGAUUCCGAUUAUAUUUUAAAUGCCUUCUGAAAGUCUCUUUUGUUGUGUCUUUAAUUCAAUUAUAUGCUUUAUUUUUUAGGCAAUAGCUUUGACCGAGAGUACAAAAAUGGCAUUUUGUUCCUGAUUCAACAGCAUACACAUUCAUAGGUUAUUUUUAAAGAAUAGAUAUAGGAAUAAAUAGUUCAACUGGUUGUAAGGUGAAUUAGAGUUUUGAAAGGGAGAUU